GAGUUUGAUCCUGGCUCAGGAUGAACGCCGGCGGCGUGCUUAACACAUGCAAGUCGAGCGAUGAAGUUUCCUUCGGGAAACGGAUUAGCGGCGGACGGGUGAGUAACACGUGGGUAACCUGCCUCAUAGAGUGGAAUAGCCUUCCGAAAGGAAGAUUAAUACUGCAUAAUGUUGAAAGAUGGCAUCAUUAUUCAACCAAAGGAGCAAUCCGCUAUGAGAUGGACCCGCGGCGCAUUAGCUAGUUGGUGGGGUAACGGCCUACCAAGGCGACGAUGCGUAGCCGACCUGAGAGGGUGAUCGGCCACAUUGGGACUGAGACACGGCCCAGACUCCUACGGGAGGCAGCAGUGGGGAAUAUUGCACAAUGGGGGAAACCCUGAUGCAGCAACGCCGCGUGAGUGAUGAAGGUUUUCGGAUCGUAAAGCUCUGUCUUUGGGGAAGAUAAUGACGGUACCCAAGGAGGAAGCCACGGCUAACUACGUGCCAGCAGCCGCGGUAAUACGUAGGUGGCGAGCGUUAUCCGGAUUUACUGGGCGUAAAGGGAGCGUAGGCGGAUGAUUAAGUGGGAUGUGAAAUACCCGGGCUCAACUUGGGUGCUGCAUGCCAAACUGGUUAUCUAGAGUGCAGGAGAGGAGAGUGGAAUUCCUAGUGUAGCGGUGAAAUGCGUAGA
rnacentral:rRNA from 1 species